GUAUAAAAGACCGUCGAUUUUACAAUUCAGCAUGCACCUCCAUUGGGUCCUCCUUUAGGUUCAACUGCACGUACGAUGAGACCUCUGCUUCUGGUAUAUUCGGUGGCCUUGUGUGGCCUGCUGGUGUCAGGCAAUGCGCUGCCACCUGCAGGUGAACCAAGUGCGAACCCUCCAGAUCAGACGGAGUCAUUUGGAAUGCAAGACACUCAAGUUCCUGUUGGAUUGAUCGGCCAGCCAAAUGGACCAAACAAAGCUGAAGAAGCACGCUGUCCAUCGGAAACCGGCUCGCCAGUAAGCGAUGGGAGGAGCGGCGAUUCUGAGAACAAGGAACAAGGCCAGAAGGAGAAGAGUGAAAAUUUAGUGAGAACGAUAACGGGAAGGGGCCCCUUUCCUCUGAGGACAGAGUUGGAAGUAUGCAAGCGAAAUAGCACCAAACCUGGCGUAUCCCCUCCUAGACAAGGGAAGGCAGAUGGUACUUAUGAAGUGAUCUUCGGCUAUCAGCAAUCUUAAUUCAUAUCGAAAAUCCCCAGUUUCAUGAACUGGGCUUGCUUUUUAAACUGUAACCAGGCGUAGUACGUUUUCCAGCGAUGCUACACAGCGUAUUCACUAUUCUUAUGAAAAUGCAGAAAGUGAUUAAAUUUGCGCUGCUAUUACCUGCC